rnacentral:misc_RNA from 1 species
GAUGAAGAACGUAGCGAAAUGCGAUAAGUAAUGUGAAUUGCAGAAUUCAGUGAAUCAUCGAAUCUUUGAACGCACAUUGCGCCCCCCAGUAUUCUGGCGGGCAUGCCUGUUCGAGCGUCAUUUCAACCAUCAAGCCCUGCUUGUGUUGGGGUCCUGCGGCUGCCCGCAGGCCCUGAAAACCAGUGGCGGGCUCGCUAGUCACACCGAGCGCAGUAGCACAUCUCGCUCAGGGCGUGCGGCGGGCUCCAGCCGUUAAAGCACCCACCUUUCGCAAGGUUGACCUCGGAUCAGGUAGGAAUACCCGCUGAACUUAAGCAUAUCAAUAAGCGGGA